AAAGACAGCAAAGGUCAGGAAAAAAUCGGAGAUGUGUUCAGAAUAAAAUAUACAAAUUUCCCAAUUUCAAUAAAAAAUAUGCAUUUUUCCCAAUAAAAAACGGUAGAGGUAGUUUUAAAAAAAGACAACAAUAUCACUGAUUUAAAUUUCUACUCCAGGAUUCUUUUUUUACAAAACCAAAUACUUGACCAAAGGGAAGUAAUUCAAAAUUUGAACUGCAAAUUCUAGAUUCAUUCACAGUAAAUGUUAUAUUACAAUGACACAUUUAUAUGACAUUAGGUAUUAUAUUUUGCAUCCUGUUGGAAUCCAUAUUUUAACAGCAAAUGAUAUUAAAAUAAUGAAUCAAGAUAUGUAUUUAUACAAAUUUUUAUCUUACUUAUUCACUGGCUUGGUUUCCUACAGAAUGCAAAGAAAGUCAUUGAUUGUGCAAUUAAUUUAUUGUUUUUGUUGUUGACUAUAAUUAUGGAAAAGAUAGUGGUCUUUUCUGUGAGUUUUAGAUAGUUCUAUCAAUCAUUUAACAUGUAUAAGGUAGGGAAGGCUCCCUUAAGUUGCAGAUAGAAAAGGAGAGUUGUAAUCUACCUUUUAUCCAUUAUGAAUAUAUCCUGAUAUUCAAAUUAACAUGGUUCCCUAACUUUCCCUGUUGUUUUGUUUUGUGUGUUAAAUUUGUAUGCUUUCUUUCAUCAACACUGGAUCAUGCUUUAAUCUAAAUGCUAAGUAUACAUCAUUUUAUAUAAAUUCAUGAUCACCAUUUUCAUUAAUUGCAUUUUUUUCUGAUUCAUUUUAAAGAAAAUAUUUAAAACAUAUUAUAGAAAAAAUGUUUUAUACUGAUAAAACAUAUUAAAACAUAUUGAUAAAAAUAAAAACAAAUAACAGAAAUGAUCAAUAAAUAAAAAAAUAUUUAACAGCUUGAAAAUGCUGUUGGUCUAAAAAGGAUUAAAAAAAGUUGUCAAAUUAUUAAAAAAUAUUGAACAUACAAAAUGUACAUAGAUAUGGAAUAAAUGUACUGCAAACUUAAGCAAACUUGAAAAUUGCAUGACAAAAGCCCAUCACACGAAAAAAAACCAACCGCUAUAAUUAAGGUGUUAUUGGUAUAUUUGAAUCUGUAUUUAUGAUAUAAGUAUAUGAAGAAGUUAUGUAGUAUUUUGAUUGUUAUUAUUGUUUUGUAAAAAGUGCUGUGUAUUUUUUGUACAUAAUAGAUUAAAUAAACUACAUGAAUAAAAAAAUUAAAAC
rnacentral:lncRNA from 1 species